rnacentral:rRNA from 1 species
GACGAACGCUGGCGGCGUGCUUAACACAUGCAAGUCGAGCGGUAAGGCCCUUUCGGGGGUACACGAGCGGCGAACGGGUGAGUAACACGUGGGUGACCUGCCCUCAGCUCUGGGAUAAGCCUGGGAAACUGGGUCUAAUACUGGAUAUGACUCCACGGUGCAUGUCGUGGGGUGGAAAGCCUUGUGCGGCUGAGGAUGGGCCCGCGGCCUAUCAGCUUGUUGGUGGGGUGANGGCCUACCAAGGCGACGACGGGUAGCCGGCCUGAGAGGGCGACCGGCCACACUGGGACUGAGACACGGCCCAGACUCCUACGGGAGGCAGCAGUGGGGAAUCUUGCGCAAUGGCCGAAAGGCUGACGCAGCGACGCCGCGUGGGGAGAAGGGCUUCGGCUCGUAACCCUGUGCCCGGGGCGAACAUCCUGUUUCGACAGGACUGACGGUACCGGGUGAGGAGCACCGGCUAACUCCGUGCCAGCAGCCGC